UCCGAGUUGACCCCGGCAGUCUCCUAUGAGUCCCCACCAUAACGUGCUGGCAACACAGGACGAGGGUUGCGCUCGUUGCGGGACUUAACCCAACAUCUCACGACACGAGCUGACGACAACCAUGCACCACCUGUACACCGACCUUGCGGGGAGCACAUCUCUGCACUUUUCCGGUGUAUGUCAAGCCUUGGUAAGGUUCUUCGCGUUGCAUCGAAUUAAUCCGCAUGCUCCGCCGCUUGUGCGGGCCCCCGUCAAUUCCUUUGAGUUUUAGCCUUGCGGCCGUACUCCCCAGGCGGGGCACUUAAUGCGUUAGCUGCGGCACGGAAUCCGUGGAAUGGACCCCACACCUAGUGCCCAACGUUUACGGCAUGGACUAC
rnacentral:misc_RNA from 1 species